rnacentral:rRNA from 1 species
CGGGUUAGGGACAGUGCCUGGUGGGUAGUUUAACUGGGGCGGUUGCCUCCCAAAAUGUAACGGAGGCGCCCAAAGGUUCCCUCAGCCUGGUUGGCAAUCAGGUGGUGAGUGUAAGUGCACAAGGGGGCUUGACUGUGAGACUGACAGGUCGAGCAGGGACGAAAGUCGGGACUAGUGAUCCGGCACCUACUUGUGGAUGUGGUGUCGCUCAACGGAUAAAAGGUACCCCGGGGAUAACAGGCU